GGCCUUAUGGCGCAGUGGUUAAGCGUUUGGCUCACUGUGGUGUGGAAACUACCAGUGCGUAGGUUCGAAUUCUGCUGUGGCCU